AUCGACUUCCGCGCUCUUCCCGUCAGGAACCAAAUUUGGAUCAAUGAAGAGUGAUCAAUGCCAGGGGUUCCCUUUCCCCUCCAUAUGGCUAUCCCCGAUUCGAAGCACACUGAAUGUGGGGAAACUAUGUUGCACUGGACCGGAAAAGUCCACGGAUUUUUUUCGGAGAAACCCCAAAAGGAAGAGCUCGCUUGAAACGUCGAGCAUGUCCAUUGCACGAUGUGCAGUUUACCAGUUACCAAUGAAAUCCUGUGCUGGGUGUUCGGAACUUAAGUUCAGUGAACCUUACUUCCAGGUUAGUGUACAGGGCUCUGCCGCCUAAAAGAGUCCUCCCGGAGCCCAUAUCCUCUCGACGCACUUACUGCGAAAAGCAAGUCCCAAGGCUUUCAGCGGACCUUGAAGCUAUUCUGGGUAGAGUUGUGGGAGGUAAAAACCAGGGGGGGUUCAGUCUGCGAGUUAGGAAGAGAGCAACUGACACUAUUCCCAUACCGUUCGCUGCUUUCGAGAGAAGUGACAUCGGAAGGAAUGAGUCUGCCAAGCCAAGCCAAAUCCAUCGGACUGGUUCCAGAGGCAACGCUUGGAAGAUCGGCGUCUCACGGACCAGUGAAGAUUUCACAGUGAAGUAAAUAUGAGAAAGCCCCUCCCGGGUUCAGUCAGGUGGAAGCUACAGCGGGCCUUCGUCUUCUCCAGAACUCCUUUCCAGUCUGAGUGGAUGCCUCUGCUCGAGCCCCUUCUCCAGCCGGAAAGAUCCACUCCCCGGCCCAGGAAGACAAAUUCCGUCUCCACCCCCCCAGAGUCCAGCAGAGGCCUUUCCCUCUCUAAUUUUCUCCUCGACAAAUUCCCGGUGCCUCUAAAGGGAUUGUGAAUUUAGGACAGGAAAGAAACUCCUCCCCAGCAAAAGCUGCAAUGGUGCCGACUGGCCCUGACAAGCUCAAGGAGCAACUCAAGAGGGGCUGUCCUGUCAAGAAUGCGCGCAUCGGUUUGCAGCUGAAAAAUCAUCCGCAGACACGCCAUUCCUACCCAGACGGACUGGGCUCAGCGGGUCCUAUUUCCAGCGACCUCGGUUUGAAUGAGAGUCUGGUCAAUUUCAGAACUGCGAGAACUGCAACUCAAUACAGACAAAAAGGUCUCGGCGCGCUUCGAGUCGUUGCCUUACUUAGGAGCGGGCAUCGCUGAAACUUACUUGCGAGGACAUGUUGCGAGGAUCGGGAUGCUGAUUUCCCUCCUCUCCAGCCCUUGUUGGAAAGCGAAUCUACCGCACUGAAUUAGGAAGUGAUGCCCGCAUUCUUAAUGCAGAAAUCCCUCAAAAGGAGCCACAGGGGCCGGUUUUCGCUUUUGGACAGGAGCUUUGGAUCUUCCUCCGGCUGCCAUCCUCGAGCAUUCUUGCCACGAAGUCCCAUGGAGCACAGUGGAAAUUAAUUCUGAAUAAACCCUCUUUCGAUUUGGGCUAGGAGAUAUAUAUUAGUAGUCUGGGCACAGCUGGCCGAUUAAAGCGCUGCAGAGCGGACUCUGACGGAGUUUGGUCCUGCGACUUUCUAUUUCGGGAGCGCUUCGGGCUUCAUCCUCCUUUAGUUAAGCUUUUGGGGGCCGAGAAACUGCUAUAGCCCCGAAGGGUCCGCGACUCCUUUAAAGCCUGGCCUUUAAUGAUAUUCUCUUUCCCACCCCCAUAUUUCUUUCAGUGGAUCUUUUUUUCAGAUCUAGAGCAUUUGGGAUCGCUCGGUUUCUGACUCCGUUUGUUUAUGACUCGGAAGUAAAAGUCACGUUGGGUCUCCCUUCCAUGGAGUUUGCGGGUUGCUAGCGAGAUCAGUGCUGCUUAGGACAAAGAUUGCUUUAAAAUUCCGGUCGGCAUAUAUAUAUUAUUUUUUAAGCGGAGUUUCUUUCAAGUCAGAGUAAGUCCGUUCUAAGACCUUACACCACGAUCACAAUUCCAUGUUAACUCCAUUGACCUGAAUGACAUUUCCUGCCUAGUAAAUAUAUUUACAGUGCCGGACGGGGCAGCCCGAUCUUAAACCUGUUUACUCCAGAGUAAAUCCCACAGAUUUCACUUUAGACUUGCAGCGCAAUCCUCACCCUGUCUAUGCAGAGGUUAAGUACUGGUUAAUUCAAUGAGGGCUUACUCCCAGAUAAGUGGGGUUAAGAUUGCAGCCAUAAAUCCUUAGAAAGUAUAUUUAGGAUCGCAGCCCUGCUGUCUUUAAACCCAAGUCACUUCGGCUCAACGCAGAUUAUUGCUAGAUUUUGCAGAUCAGGUUGUCAGAUUUGCUUACAAGCUUCCAAGACCUACACUUCCGACUGCAAGCCUAACCCCCAUUACUUGGGAGCAAGCCCCGCUGAAUUCAGUAGGGCUUACUUCUGAGUCGACAUGAUUCGAUUUGCGCCGUAAACUAUGGUGUUAAGCGCCCAUCUCUCUCCAAAGUGAAAAUGUGGCGUGAAGGGGGGGAGAAGAGAGAGAUUUGUUUGUUUUGAACUGAAUCACGGAGCGCCAGGCUGAGACAGCCUAAGGGAAGAUGCUCCAUACUAAUACUUGCUAGUUCUUGCAUUCUGCAGGCCUUCACGCCCAAAGUUGAUUUCUGAGGAACUGCUUAAUAGCAAUGCAGUCCUCAUCCCAUUGAGAUCAAUACGGCUUACUCCAAAGGUAACAGUGUCUAUCAAGAGCUGCGCCCUCAGGGCCGGGCUUUGGGGACAGAGGUCUAGGGCCCCACUCUGCAGCAGGGCUGGCUCACCCCCACUGAAGUAAAGUGAAGCAAUGCACAUGACCAGCUAAAGUCGGGGGGGGGGGCGGCAUUAGGCCCUUCAGUCAAGAGUGGGGCAGAGCGAUCUGAAGUGGGGCCGGAGAAGA